GUUUUAUUUUUUAUUAAUUUUAUUGACUUAUUUAUGUCUUAGUCCUUUUUAUUACAAAUUAUUGUUUAGUCACUACUUUAGAGUCUGUUUUAUUUUUUCUUAAUUUUAUUAAAGGACGAUAUUGAUGAUGAAAUAUCUUACGAAGAUCAUUUAGAGGUUUAUUUUGAAUAACUGACAAUUCCAGGAAUGAUGGAAUAAAACAUAUGAAGUAGAAGGACUGGAACCUCCAGAAAAAAUACUUCAAGUUACCGACAAGUGAUCUUAGUCAGGCAAAUGAAAACAGUAGCCUAAAGUGUCGGUUUCAACCAGAAAAUAACAGCUAUGAUUUCUCAUGGCUCACACUCUUCUGAAACGACUCAGGAAGAGGCUGAGGAAGGCCAUGUUGUUUGUCUACCUGGGACUAUCCCUUCUUUGUAAUUAGGUAAAAAAAGAAAAGAGAGACAUUCUUGAUUUUGGUGACUAGAGUUGUAGAUGCUGGAAGGCUUUGUCACUAAAAUUGAUGAACCAGAUGCACGUCACCAGCCAAUCACGCUGACUCUUAAUGCCGGCACCAUGGCCUGGCACCGUCACGUUUUCCAAGGAACCUGCUGGAGCUCCUGCGGAAGCUGCUCCUUGGGCCGAUGGAGGCGCUUAGCUGGUAGGCCCUUCUUUAGUCACCACAGGAUGCCUGCUGUUCAUGAACAGAAAGGAGAGGACAGGCUUUGAAUAAAACACAGGACCUGGAAAACAUUUGUGAGGCCAUUGGAUUUCAGAUUUCAGUGUCAGGUGGUGGUGAAAGUUGAAGUCAUUUCUUCAAGAAGUAAACCUCUGCCACCUGGACUGUGCUCAGACAUUUCAUUGAUUUUGUUAAAUAAACAUUUUCUGGCUUUGGGAGGUGUCCCUCUUGGUGGAACACAGUAAGUGUCAAAGAUGGACACAUAGUCCAUGAUUUGUAGUGUGUGGGAGCAGACCACAAAUUAAUGUUUGGAGAACAAUUUUGUCAUAACAGACACUGUUGAGGCUCAGUUGUACAGAACUGGAGAAGUCUUUCAGCGUGGCACAUGUCCUGAUUCAGCCUCUGUUUAACAUAUAUUCCAAUCCUGAUUCUUAACUGGCUACAAAGACCACCUGAGAUGUGUACGACACAGGAGCUGCUGGGGGAGGGGCAGUAUUAUCUCCCCAAACUCACAGCCACUCCAUAUUUUCAAAAGCCAGCUUAGAGCUGCAGAGAGAACACGCAGUCCAUCCAUUCUUCUCAGUGAUGUACAUUUCUCAAUCAGCAACCACGUGGUUUUAGCAAACCCCACAGAAGUGGUUUUGAUGUACCAGCCUUGAGUGUCACAUCUCCCAAC
rnacentral:lncRNA from 1 species